AAUAUUAUGUCUGAUUUAAGUAAUAAAUUGUAAAUUUAUUUAAAAGAAUUAAUUUUUCUUUAAUAUUA
rnacentral:tRNA from 1 species